UGGCAAGUCGAACGGUAGCACCCGUAGCUUGCUCUCCUGGUGACAAGUGGCGGACGGGUGAGUAUUGUCUGGGAAACUGCCCCAUGGAGGGGGAUAACUACUGGAAACGGUAGCUAAUACCCCAUAACGUCUCAACACCCAAAAGGGGGACCUUCUGGCCUCUUGCCCUCGCAUGUGCCCCCAUGGGAUUUUCUUGUAUGUGAGGUAACGGCUCACCUAUGCGACGAUCCCUCUCUGGUCUGAGAGGAUGACCUCCCACACUGGAACUGAGACACGGUCCCCACUCCUACGGGAGGCGCAGUGGGGAAUAUUGCACAAUGGGCGCAAGCCUGAUGCGCCAUGCCGCGUGUAUGAAGAAGGCCUUCGGGUUGUAAAGUACUUUCAGCGGGGAGGAAGGGAGUGAGGUUAAAAUACCUUUUCAUUGACGUUACCCGCACAAAAAGCACCGGCUAACUCCCUGCCCCACCCCCGGUAAUAUAGAGGGGGUGCACGUUAAUCUCAAUUACUGGGCGUAUAGCGCACACACGCGGUCUGUCUUAUCUCAUGUGAAAUCCCCCCGCUCAACCUGUGAACUGCAUUCCAAACUGGGAGGCUGGAGUCUCGUGUAGGGGGGUAU
rnacentral:rRNA from 1 species